rnacentral:rRNA from 1 species
GACGAACGCUGGCGGCGUGCCUAAUACAUGCAAGUUGAGCGAUGAAGAUUGGUGCUUGCACCAAUUUGAAGAGCAGCGAACGGGUGAGUAACGCGUGGGUAAUCUGCCUUUGAGCGGGGGACAACAUUUGGAAACGAAUGCUAAUACCGCAUAACAACUUUAAACAUAAGUUUUAAGUUUGAAAGAUGCAAUUGCAUCACUCAAAGAUGAUCCCGCGUUGUAUUAGCUAGUUGGUGAGGUAAAGGCUCACCAAGGCGAUGAUACAUAGCCGACCUGAGCGGGUGGACGGGCACAUUGGGACUGAGACAAGGCCCAAACCUCUUCGGGAGGGAGCAGUAGGGAAUCUUCGGCAAUGGAGGGAAGGCUGAACGAGCAAAGCCGCGGGAGUGGAGAAGGGUUUCGGAUCGGUAAACUCUGUUGGUAGAGAAGAAAGUUGGUGAGAGUGGAAAGCUCAUCAAGUGACGGUAACUACCCAGAAAGGGACGGCUAACUACGUG